GAAAUAUAUUUUUAAGCUGCUAACUUAAUUUUUAGUGAAUAAAUUUCAUUAAUAUUUCU
rnacentral:tRNA from 1 species